UCAUGUGACAUGAGUAUGAGAACUCUUCGUUGAUCGUGUUCAGUGGACUCAUUCAUUAUUGAGCACCUACAUGCUUGUCUUGAUGUCACACACACCAAUGACUCGAGACUAGUCACUCUCCCUGAGAGAAGACACAGCACGUACUGAUCUUAACGGACUGUCAAUGCCCAAUUGGCAAUCCUAUAAUCAGGAACGUUUAGGAUGUGUCUACGAAAGAAUGGUCUCAUGAAUCUAACUUCUUUAGAUCGCAUUCUCCCAAUCACAUAUUCCUUGGACUUAUCGUUUAAGCGCAUAACAUUUAUAUGAGACGGCUCAAACAAUAAUCUUUGCCCUUGAUAUUAAACUAGAUUAGUUUAACAUGUGAAAUGUCCGUAAAGUAUCAUCAUAUGAUUGGUUUUAGGGCAUAUUUCCAACAAUCUCCCACUUGCACUAGAGCCAAUCAGCUUGGUCAUCAGUGAUGAUACCUCUUCUGUAGU
rnacentral:lncRNA from 1 species